CCGUCCUGCUUUGCUCACUUAACAAUAUUACGUCACCUGUCUCUUUGAGCAGUAGCUCCAGGAAGACAUCUCACAAGACCACUAUUGUCCAGCUCCACACAUCUUAUGAUAGAAUCCCCCAACAACAACUGCUUUCUAUUAGGCCUCACCAUAGUCUCAACGCCGGUCUCCAUAAUACCACUACCCUCAGUGCCUGAGCCUGUCUCCACAACACCACUACACUCGGU